AGUAACACGUGGAUAACCUACCUAUAAGACUGGGAUAACUUCGGGAAACCGGAGCUAAUACCGGAUAAUAUUUUGAACCGCAUGGUUCAAAAGUGAAAGACGGUCUUGCUGUCACUUAUAGAUGGAUCCGCGCUGCAUUAGCUAGUUGGUGAGGUAAAGGCUCACCAAGGCGACGAUACAUAGCCGACCUGAGAGGGUGAUCGGCCACACUGGGACUGAGACACGGCCCAG
rnacentral:rRNA from 1 species